GUGCUGCAGCUGCCUUUUGGGGCCCCACCACCGAACCUCCCCAUUAUAGCCUCCCCCUUGCUACGCACCAUUGCUCUUCGAUUCGUCAGUUUCCCCUCCCCUUCAUUACCAAUAUAUUUUUUUCUCUCUUUUGUUUUUUACUUUACUUUUUUUUGUUGCUGUGUUUUCGGUUGCUAAUUUAAUUAAGUAGCUUUUGUAUUUGUUUUAAUUAUGCCGCUUUUGAUGUUAUUUUUUUUGUUUUUUUUAGCACAUAGUUUUGUGUAAAAAUGAUUGAAUAUCAUUUAUAAUUUAUAUCGAUUUAAUUGUAUUAUUUGCUGUUUUUCUUUCCCCAAUCAUUGUGAUUUUAUUUUAUGAAUUUUGCGGUUAUUUAUGAUGUAAUUAGUGCUAUGAUGCUUUAGCUCUAAUUAGUGGCUCUUUUGGCCACUCAAUUGAGGUUUAUGGAUCAGGGCAUUAUUGAUGAUGGAUUGGUGUCACGUCACGUAUGGAAAAAGAACCCUUGAAAAUUGCUAAACAUGCAUAGAAUUUUACACAUUUAAAUUAGUGUGACUAAUUAGUUGAUGUUUUUGUGGCGGUUCUUUUAUUUGUAAAUUAUUUUCCAUUUAGAUGACAUUUUUGCUUAGAUGAAGCUUGUACCAUUUAUGUUUUUUGUGGGUUUUGCCUUUUUGUUGGUUGCCAAGAAUCGUAAAUGGUAUGAUUUUCACAAACACAUCAAUUUGCCCAUCAUAGGAAUUACAACUUAAGAUCGGGGCAGCUCCAUAAAUAUCCUAAAUAACGUAGAAUACGUUGUGAAUAUGUAAACGAUGAUAUAAAGAAUAUGUUUUAUGGAGAACUUCAAGCGGAGGAACUUCAAUCAGAAGAAGAUUAUAAAUAGGAUGGCUUGUUUCUUCUUAGAUUUAUUUAUAUGAUGAUGAAUAAAGAAUGAAGUUUAA